GCAUAUAGCUUUAAUAACAGUGUCAGUGUCAUCGCCAUCAGGAAGCUGCUUUGUUUUGUCAUCAAACAAGGACAGCAUCACAUACAUAAAGUCUUCAUCUCCCUUAACCUCGCUAGAACCUCUUUUGCUCUUAUGCUCAUCCAACCAUCCUUGGAAAACGAGGUCAAAUUCUUUAGCUGUCUUCUUCAUUAAUUUCUCGUAUCCGCCGAUAUCCAGCCAUCUCAGAAACGGUAAAGCGUCAGACACCACAAACUUACCAAACAAGUCAAAAAAGUCGGUCGCAUGCUCUUGAAAAUCAGAGCUGUCUUGUGAAGUGUAACGUUUUCCUGCAAUUAUUCUCAUGAUAAUAUCAAGUACAAUCCCCUCAAUCCAGUGCUUCAUCUCCACUGAAACCUUAUGUGAACUGCUCCUUUUGCAAUUCUCGAAUAACCCUUUGAUUGAAGCCUUCACUUCAGACUCUCGUACAUGUUUCAGCUUCUGAAGUUGAUUGUUUGAUAAAAGCUCAAUCGUGGCCAUCUUACGAGACUCUCGCCAGUAGUUGCCGUAUGGGCUGGCAGCAAUGGCCAAAAAAUUGUACCCUAAGAGAUCCAUGGCCAUUGAUCUGGGACGAUUUGCAAAGGGUUUGUCGUUGAUGGUGAAACAUUCUUUGGCAAUUUCCCAAUUGCUGACCACUAAAGCUCGAUUCAAGCCCAUUUUCAUAGUGAAUAUUGGACCGUAUUUAUCAGCCAUGUCGCCCAAAAGUCUAUGAGUUGGCUCUUGCCCUCCAAAGAGAUGUAAAUGGCCAAUCAAAGGCCAUGCUCCCCCAGCCACUGGUGCUUGAUGAGGAGCUUGUGUCUUUUUUGUUCGCCCAUUUAGUGAAAUCAAGAGUAGAAGUAAGAGAAAUAUUACAAAGCCUGAAAUUAUUGCAAGAACAGUUGAUCCUAGUGUAAGAAAAAUGGCCAUUUCUAAUUAGUUUUUGCUGGCUCUGAGACUCUGAUCUGAAUGAAGAGGUUACUUCAAAUCAUGACUGAUAUAUAGAUAUAAUUUAAGAGCAUAUAGCGUAAGGUCUGCAGUAAAAGUUUCGUCUAGUCAAUGAUUAUAAGAUAAUUACAAAAUUGGUACGUAAUGUACCCUUAAAAUGCUUUAAACACUUUUAUUUUAAUAAAAUUUUAUAUAACUAAAAUACUUAUAAAGUAAUUGUACUAUUAAGUACAAGCUUAUGAAUCAAACAAAAUAUAUUUUACUUUUCCCAAUUUCAUUAAUUUGAGUCUCUGAAAUUCUUACGUUUACAAAUAAUUCCCAUACCUAGGAAGAGACUCGUCUAAGAUAUAACAAAAUCAAACAAUUUUUACUUUUCUAGUCAGUUUGUUGCUUUGUGAAAUCAAGGGAUGCUUCUAAAGUCUUAGAAAAUGACGGUUUACUACUUUGAUCCAUGGCUAACAUAAAAUUUCGAUGACCAAGUCAUUUUAUUUUUCAUUUUCCAAUCCAAAUUCAUGACUCAGGACCCAAAGUCUUGCAAUUUUUUUGUUUUUUUCUGUUAGGUUAUAAAUGUGAAUUAUGAAGGAUAAUUUUUGCUCAUUCUUUGACUGAAUGACUAUCAAACUUUGCCCUAUUGUUAACCAUUGAAACAAAUGAUGAUAGAUUAAUAUUGAGAAAAUAAUUACUUCAAAUAAAAUUUAAUAUUUAUGUGGGAUGGAGAAUAACCCCUCCAUUGAGUUGGUUGGCAUUUCCUUCUCUUGACAAUGAGAUGAAAAAAUAUAGUUUUUAUUUAAUUGAUAUAAAAUUAUUCUAGUGUAAAUUAUUAUUAUUGUUAUUAAUUCAAAGUUUUGUCCCCUUAAGUCAAUAUCCUUGUGUAUUGUAAGAAAUCUUUCUGGCAGAAAUUUACAAGGCUCCUGCCAAACUUUUGGGUCAUGAUGAACCUUCCAAGCAUUAACAAAGAGUUGCGUGCCUGCAGGGACAUGGUAACCACUGACGGUGCAGUCUUCCAUCCACUGGUGAGAUUGUAGAAGUGGCGCUGCCGGAUAUAAACGCAUUGUUUCCUUGAGCAUAGCCCGCAAGUAAACUAAAGUUUCAAUGUCAGAUUCAUUCACUUGCCUAUUUGCACCAACAUGAAUGUCUAGUUCAUUCUGAGCCUUCUUCAGAGCAUCUUGAUUUUUAAAAUUAUCUUCUUCACAUAUGAGAUAAACAUCUAGUCUAUGGAAGGUUCUACCUGCAUUCCUAUCCUUGGUAGAGAAAUCAAAUCAUGGAUCUUUGGGAAUGUACAUGUUUGUACAAAUCUUUGAACCGGAACUCCCCCUUUUUAAUUGAUUUGUAUUCAUCAGCAAUUUAUAGUUUUAUAUUGAUGAUGUUCUUUCUUGUUUCAUACAUACCGAAAUGAUAUAUCAAUCAUACUGUCAUCAGUAAUAAAUAAGAUUCUAGGUUUACAUUGCAUAAUACAUAAUCAAGCUUUAACUUUGCUUUGAAUCUUCUAAAUUAAAACACAUGGGUAUGUACACCCGAAGAACUAGUACGCCAUUAAUUAAAUGCUUAAAACAAACAUAAAUUCAAAAUGAGACAUUUGGUGACAAUGUUUAUUCGCUUGCACAAUGGGUUAACAAAAGUGUCCAUGGUUUGGUAAAUGGUAAAUACAAAUUCUUUUGUGGAUACAUUUUAGUGGCACUUGUAAUUGAAAAGGGCAGAGAUUGAAAAAAUAUAUAAUGAAAAUGGUAAUUCUAAAAAUAAAUAGAUUUAAUUAAGAAAUGGGGCUAAUGAGAUAAAUAGAAGAGGUCAAAUAUCACUACACAAAUAUAUUUUAGAUGCAUAAAAUUCAGUACACAUAGAUUGGAUCAUGUAAAUUAUGGAUCUUCCUAUGUAUAUUUUUUAAUAUACACAAAUUAAGCAGUUGUUAAGAGUGUUUCCAUGCUUGACAAUUAACUAGUAAUAGGCGAUAACUUGCUUGAUUCAUCAAAAUACCUGCUCCAAAUUAAUUAAAAGUCUCAAUCCUAAAUAAAGUCAAUGUGGCAUUACCAAGAUCAUCUAAUUAAUGUCUGCGUCGUUUUCUUAAUCCAAUUAAAAUUUUAUCUACAAAUUAAGACGAGAUCGAUGGUUAAAAAAUUGUACUUAAUUUUGGCUUUAAACUGAUCAACCCGUCUGAAAGCAAUAUGGCUUUUGAAACCAUCAAAGCUCAUGUCACAUACACCUACUCUUUUGUAACAAUUUUAAAGAAAAUUCGGGGAAAAUAAAUCAUGCGUCACAAAGUUCAAGUCAAUUUAUUUGGUUAUAAUUUAUUGAUUCAUUAUUCCUUUUCGAUUUAUUCAAGUCAGUUUAAUUAAUUAAUUCAUAAGAGAUGGGAUUUGAACCCAUCAAAGUACUCUUAUACUUAUUUUUAAUAAUUUUUUCUUUUAUUACUAAAAUAUCCAUUACAAAAAUUAUCACCGAGAACAACAUAAAACCCAAAUUCGUUUUCAAUGUUUGAACUUAACUUUAUUUUGUAGUACAAUGAAAGCGAGAGAGAAACAUUCAUUAAGGAUGAGUAACAAUUAACUAACUUUCCGUUCCACCCAAACAAAUCAAGGUCAAGGAUAUGGCUUUUCAAAAUGACUGGCAAAAUCGUCAUCUUAUUAUUAUUAUUAUUAUUUUUGAAUUCAGAAUUCGAACUGUCUAAAAUACCCGAGGUGGCUAACAUGUUAGAACAGUUCAAGUCAAAUAUGAAUUAUUGAAUUAAUUGUAAACAAGCAUUAAUGUUAGAGGUGGCUAUGCAAAGUAGCAGGGUGAAUGAUUUGAGCGUAAAAAUUGAAUUGUAAGAAUACGUAAAAGUUGAAUGCUUCAAUUCAAUUAGAGUUAACGAGUGGUUGAGUUGAUUUAUUCAGUUCAAAGUGGAGUUCUUUUUUGGGCAUAUUAAAGGGGCUUUGGUUUGGUUGAAUGGAAUAUACUAGUAUAAAUUAAGGUGGCCAUUCACAUUAAGGUAGGUGAAUUAAUUUUAAAGUUCUCUCGUAACUGAUUGUUGACGUGGCACAACUUAUUUACUGAUAUUUUUAAUCUUUUUGAGAUAUAAUUAAUUAUUAUAAUUUAUUAAUCAGUUACUUAAAAAAUUCAGGCAAAUAUUUAACCAUAAAUUCGUUUUUUUGGAUCCAACCAUUGGAUCCUGUUGGUGCAAAUUUUGUCCCAACUUAUACGAGGUACCUCAGUCUAUACGGGGUACCUCGAGUUACUCUGGAGUUAUGCGGGGUACCUCUGACCGUGCCGGGUACCUCUAAUCAUGCCAGGUACCUCUAAUCUUGUGGGGUACCUCAGAUUGCAUUGAAGUUAUUCCAUUCGUCGACACGUGGCGUUCUGCUAUCUUUCUUAUUUUUCCCCCAAACAACAUCCCCCUAGUUUCUUUUGGCGAGAAGUAUUGGAGGCAAAAGAAACUUACAUAAAAAGUAGGAGCGACACGUGGCGAAAUGAAGUUUAGCUCGAUGGGCAGCUGAAUAGAGGACGCCUCUAGGGAUACCGUCAUGAAGGGAAGAUCUCUGGAGUGAACAAGACUUUGAGGGGACACUUUGAUGAAGUUUUAGAUGAGAAGGCCCAUAAGGUGGAAGACCCUGAGGAGCUUUAAGUUAAACUUUAGGACUUGGUACCUCGACAGAAGAACAUAGUUGACAAUACUUUUGAGCGCAUCAUGACCGAGGAAUGGAGUGCUGAUAUGGGGCUGGUGGUGCAAAGAGUAGAGAACUAGGUAGAUAAGCCGGCUAUCUUGAAGGCAAUUGAGAAUAGCAGGGCUCCCCACACAUCUUGGUCUGAAAGCCCAUGGAGAUCAACUGGGGUACCUCAGAUGAAGUCACUAUAAGGUACCCCUGAUACCGACGCUUGUGUUUCUGCUAUUUCUAGCACUUUUGUUGAUCUCCUUAUCCUAAAUGAUGAAGGUGAAGAUAACCAUCCUACUAUAUAACAUUGUUCGACAUUACCGACAAGGCAUAUGGGGUACCUCGGGUACCCUUAAGCUUGGAUAUCCCCUGAGCUAUCUGGUACUUCAUGGCGGGAUAACCCAAUUUUAUCAAACAUAUGGCGAUUCCUUCAAAUAUGCUUGCUGCUUAUCUCAGGCUUUCUUAGAGUUCCUCUUGGUGUACACGAGGAAUGGUUUUCUGUCAUAGGGUACCCUGAGUACUAUGGGUACCCUUAAUCUUGUCUCAUCAGUGUAUCGUGGUUUACUUAGACAUGCUUGUUGCGGUUAAUUCAUGGCGGAACAACCCAAUUUCAUCAAACAUAUGGUGAUUCCUCUGGAUAUGUUUGUUGUUUAUCUCAAGCUAUCUUAGGGUUCCUCUUAGUGUAUUUGAGGAAUGACUUUCUGGCGUGGGGUACCUCGGAGGUACCCUUAAUUAGUGUAUGGCAAUUUUCAUAGACAUUCUUACCGCAAAUCUUCACAAAACUUAUGGCGAUUCCUUUUGAGAGAUGAAUGAAAACCUCAUGAUCCACCAUUCACUCUACAUCAAAUAUGCAAGAUAAAUAGUAAUAAAGGUGGGCUGCUCGCCUACCUUUAUGUAAGAUGGUCGAAAAUCUCAUGAUCCACCAUUCGCGUUGAAUCAAAUAGACAACAUAGAUUGAGAUAAAUGUGGCUGCUCGCCUACCCUUAUGCGACAUGGUCGAAAACCUCAUGAUCCACCAUUUGCUGGAAUCAAAUAGACAACAUAGAUUGAGAUGAAGGUAGCUGCUCGCCUACCCUUAUGCGAGAUGGUCGAAAACCUCAUGAUCCACUAUUCGCAUGGAAUCAAAUAGACAAUAUAGAUUGAGAUAAAGGUGGCUGCUCGCCUACCCUUAUGCGAGAUGGUCGAAACCUUGUGAUCCACCAUUCGCAUGGAAUAAAAUAGACAACAUAAAUAAAGAUGAAGGUGGCUGUUCGUCUACCCUUAUGCGAAAUGAUUGAAACCUCAUGAUCAACCAUUCGCUCAGAAUCAAAUAUGGCGAGCAAAUAAUGAUAAAGGCGGCUCUGAUGUUAAGUAGAUUAUCAUGAUUGGGGAUAGGUCAGGUACCUCGGGUACCCUGGAGUAAGGUGAUCUCUGGAUACCCUCUUGCAUCAUAAUAAACAAUACUUUUACUAGUAGCAUGACUUUUCUUUGUUGGAUCGGUGGCCCAAAUCGAGACGGAAACCGAGUCUUCAACUGGGGUACCCCGUUUUUCAUCUUUGGAUAUUCGAGGAUCCAAACGUACCUCCAAUUCACAUUUAGGCUUAAUCUGGUCCCCGUGGGGUACCCCCACAUAAUUCUAGAGUAACUAGUUAUGAGGUACCCUACCACCGAGGCCUCGGUGGUGGCGAUCUUGGAGGUUCGGGUACCCGUGAGAUACCCUGAGUGUUAAACACUCGUCCCCGCGGGGCAACCCGUAGAGGGCUCCGCAUUCGGGGUACCCUUUGUAUUGGGGCUUUCGUCCUCUUCGGUUUCUCCUUAUUCUUUGUUACCUCGACCUUAUCUUCUUGGCGCUUCAAAUGACAUUUCUCAUCCAUCUCCACUUGCUGCAACGCCCGGAAACGGGCUUCCCUAUAUGAAAGUGGGUGCUUCUUUUGAAAGGAACGCUAUAACAUGCCCAACCGUAAAUUUUUCUCGAAAUGAGUCAGUGUGUGUUGGUUUCCAAAUGCUCCGGUUCGCAACAUCUCUUGGUGGAAACGGCUCAUACUCCGCCAAAUGUUCGACUUCUCCUUGCUUGAUAAAGGCAAGUUUGGAGGCUACCCUAUCUUGAGUGGAAACAUAGGAAAACUCUUUAGUAAAUUCGGAUAAUAAUUGGUGUAGAGAAGAUAUGCUACCAGCUUUCAAAGAGCAAAACCAUGAUUUCGCGGGGCCCGUGAGUGUGUGUGUAAACAUCCUACACAUGGCACUAUCAUCUACACCCUUGAUAAGCAUUUGGUCGCGGUAUAGCUCAGCAUGGUCCGAGGGAUCAGUGGUACCCGAAUAUUGGGGUAUCUGAGGCAUGGCGAACGCCUCGGGGAGAGCUGCCUUUCGAAUCUACAUAGUGAAUGGCGAUUGGUAGGUCAUUGGCGUUGGAGCAGCUGUGAUGUUUUGCUUCUCGGAGAGGAGCUUCAGUUGGGCUUCUAGGUUCUCCAUUUUUUCCACAAGUUCGUGGGGUACCCGAUGAUGUCGCCGCUAUUUGAGAAGCCCUUUUGGCAUUUAACUUUUCACGGAGAUCCUCGUGGGCACGUUUUGCGCACCUCGUACCCUGGCUGCUACGGGAAUUGCAAGAGGCGGUGGAACGCUCGUCUCAGGAGCCCACAAUUUGAAACUUAGAACGGGUACCCGAUGGCCUAUGCUUUGGCUUGUUGGCCUCGGGUACCACUUUUCUGACCAUAGCUUGGUCGUCCGUUUGAGGUGGUGAAGCUUCUAGCGUCACUGGUGGAAGUGAACUUUCGGGUGCCCGAAAUCCAACCACCCUAAGUAUUGCGUGGGCAAAAUCCUCGAAAUGCUUGUGAGAAAUAGGUUCCUCAACUAGGCGAACUCCUAUCAAUUGUUUGAUACCCUUGCCCUUGCUGAUGCGGGCUACCCUUCUUGCGGGAUCACUACCUUCACUGCUGCUGUCAUUUCUCAUCCUUGUAGGAUCUGCCAUUAAACCUUCGGAAGGUACGUCAGGUGCCAUGUAUUGGAGUACACACAACAACUAGUUUGGUAACCGUGGAAGAGGCUUUUUGUGCGACUUCCCACAGACGGUGCCAAUUGUUUUCAACAGAUUUUGGGGUAAGAAAAGCCAAACCUAUCUAGAACAAUGAAUUUAUAUUUUUGGGGGAGAUGGGGUACCUUACUGGUUUGUUGUGUGCGGUGCGGUGUAUCUGAAAUUCGGGGGAGGUGAGAAGGGGAGAGGGAGUGGUAACAAUGGUGAAAGGUCAAAACCAAGAGAGGUGUCCUUUAAAAUGAGCUACACGCCUGCAAAACAGUGAAAUAGAGGUUAGAGGUGAAGCCGAGGUACCCCGGCGUUCACACUCCGACGCUCAAGUUAGCAAACUCAAGCUUUUAUGGCAAAGACAGCUGGCUAGCCCUUUGUAAAUUAGGGUUUAUGGUUGAAGAAAACCUAUUUUUUGGAGUGUGAGUGUUAAUGGUGAGUGAGAACCUCCUGGAGAAUGAAACCUAGACACCUUUAUAUAUGGAGUACCUCAGCUGCACCGUUAUGUGCAUGUUCGCGGCAUAUCUCAUCCUUUAGAAACGUGGCGCACGUUGGAUAAUGGUCCAAGGUACCUCUGCAGUAGCUGUCGGGUAAGCGGCUGAGGACCACUGUCCUUGGGACAAUGUCCUUCACUUUUGGCAGAGGUUGCAGACGGCUGUCCCCCCCUUUUAGUACGACGUUCUUGAUUCCUAAUUCUGACAAAAUCGAAUAAUAUCUUUUAAGAGAUGGAGACGUUUCUCACGGCGGAUAUUUUCGGUGGAUUCUCUUGCAUCUGAUCUGCCGGGUACCUCGAGUUACGUGGGGUACCUUAAUUUAUGUGGGGUACCCCUAAUUGAGCGGGGUACCUCUAUUUGUGUGGGGUACCUAUAAUUGUGCGGGGUACCUCAAAUCAUGUCGGGUACCUCGGAUUGCACUGAAGUUAUUCCAUUCGUCGACACGUGGCAUUCUGCUAUCUUUCUUAUUUUCCCCCCAAACAACAUUAGGGUAUCUCUAAUUGUGUGGGGUACCUCAAAUCACGCCGGGUACCUCAGAUUGUGUAGGGUAUCUCGUAUCAUGUCGGGUACCUCUAUUUGUCCAGGGUACCUUAAAUCAUGCCGGGUACUUCGAAUUAUAUGGGGUACCUCAGAUUGUAUUGGGUACCUCUAAUCAAGUCGGGUAUCUUUAAUUACGCCGGGUACCUCUAAUCAUGCGGGGUAUCUCUAAUCAGGUCAGGUACCUCUAAUCAUGCGGGGUACCUCUAAUUAAGUUGGGUACCUCUAAUUAUGCCGGGUACCUCUAAUUGCGCGGGGUACUUCUAAUCAAGCCGGGUACCUCUAAUUACGUCGGGUACCUCUAAUUAUGCGGGGUACCUCUAAUCAGGCCGGGUAACUCUAAUCAUGCCGGGUACCUCUAAUCAUGCUGAGUACGUCUAAUCAGACCGGGUAUCUCUAAUCAUGCUGGGUACCUCGAGUUAUUCCGAGUACCUUGAAUUAUGUUGGAGUUAUUCUGGGUACCUUGAAUUUUGCUGGAGUUAUUCCGGGUACCUCAAAUUAUACGGGGUACCCCAGUCUAUGCGGGGUACCUCGAGUUACUCUGGAGUUAUGCGGGGUACCUCUGACCGUGCCGGGUACCUCUAAUCAUGCCGGGUACCUCAAAUCAUGGCAGGUACCUCUAAUCUUGCGGGGUACCUCUAAUCAUGUCGGAUACCUCGGAUUGCACUGAAGUUAUUCCAUUCGUCGACACGUGGCGUUCUGCUAUCUUUCUUAUUUUUCCCCAAACAACUUAUUUAUUUAUUUUUAAAAUUAUCUUCUUCACAUAUGAGAUAAACAUCUAGUCUAUGGAAGGUUCUACCUGCAUUCCUAUCCUUGGUAGAGAAAUCAAAUCAUGGAUCUUUGGGAAUGUACAUGUUUGUACAAAUCUUUGAACCGGAACUCCCCCUUUUUAAUUGAUUUGUAUUCAUCAGCAAUUUAUAGUUUUAUAUUGAUGAUGUUCUUUCUUGUUUCAUACAUACCGAAAUGAUAUAUCAAUCAUACUGUCAUCAGUAAUAAAUAAGAUUCUAGGUUUACAUUGCAUAAUACAUAAUCAAGCUUUAACUUUGCUUUGAAUCUUCUAAAUUAAAACACAUGGGUAUGUACACCCGAAGAACUAGUACGCCAUUAAUUAAAUGCUUAAAACAAACAUAAAUUCAAAAUGAGACAUUUGGUGACAAUGUUUAUUCGCUUGCACAAUGGGUUAACAAAAGUGUCCAUGGUUUGGUAAAUGGUAAAUACAAAUUCUUUUGUGGAUACAUUUUAGUGGCACUUGUAAUUGAAAAGGGCAGAGAUUGAAAAAAUAUAUAAUGAAAAUGGUAAUUCUAAAAAUAAAUAGAUUUAAUUAAGAAAUGGGGCUAAUGAGAUAAAUAGAAGAGGUCAAAUAUCACUACACAAAUAUAUUUUAGAUGCAUAAAAUUCAGUACACAUAGAUUGGAUCAUGUAAAUUAUGGAUCUUCCUAUGUAUAUUUUUUAAUAUACACAAAUUAAGCGGUUGUUAAGAGUGUUUCCAUGCUUGACAAUUAACUAGUAAUAGGCGAUAACUUGCUUGAUUCAUCAAAAUACCUGCUCCAAAUUAAUUAAAAGUCUCAAUCCUAAAUAAAGUCAAUGUGGCAUUACCAAGAUCAUCUAAUUAAUGUCUGCGUCGUUUUCUUAAUCCAAUUAAAAUUUUAUCUACAAAUUAAGACGAGAUCGAUGGUUAAAAAAUUGUACUUAAUUUUGGCUUUAAACUGAUCAACCCGUCUGAAAGCAAUAUGGCUUUUGAAACCAUCAAAGCUCAUGUCACAUACACCUACUCUUUUGUAACAAUUUUAAAGAAAAUUCGGGGAAAAUAAAUCAUGCGUCACAAAGUUCAAGUCAAUUUAUUUGGUUAUAAUUUAUUGAUUCAUUAUUCCUUUUCGAUUUAUUCAAGUCAGUUUAAUUAAUUAAUUCAUAAGAGAUGGGAUUUGAACCCAUCAAAGUACUCUUAUACUUAUUUUUAAUAAUUUUUUCUUUUAUUACUAAAAUAUCCAUUACAAAAAUUAUCACCGAGAACAACAUAAAACCCAAAUUCGUUUUCAAUGUUUGAACUUAACUUUAUUUUGUAGUACAAUGAAAGCGAGAGAGAAACAUUCAUUAAGGAUGAGUAACAAUUAACUAACUUUCCGUUCCACCCAAACAAAUCAAGGUCAAGGAUAUGGCUUUUCAAAAUGACUGGCAAAAUCGUCAUCUUAUUAUUAUUAUUAUUAUUAUUAUUAUUAUUUUUGAAUUCAGAAUUCGAACUGUCUAAAAUACCCGAGGUGGCUAACAUGUUAGAACAGUUCAAGUCAAAUAUGAAUUAUUGAAUUAAUUGUAAACAAGCAUUAAUGUUAGAGGUGGCUAUGCAAAGUAGCAGGGUGAAUGAUUUGAGCGUAAAAAUUGAAUUGUAAGAAUACGUAAAAGUUGAAUGCUUCAAUUCAAUUAGAGUUAACGAGUGGUUGAGUUGAUUUAUUCAGUUCAAAGUGGAGUUCUUUUUUGGGCAUAUUAAAGGGGCUUUGGUUUGGUUGAAUGGAAUAUAGUGGUAUAAAUUAAGGUGGCCAUUCACAUUAAGGUGGGUGAAUUAUUUUUGAAGUUCUCUCGUAACUGAUUGUUGACGUGGCACAACUUAUUUACUGAUAUUUUUAAUCUUUUUGAGAUAUAAUUAAUUAUUAUAAUUUAUUAAUCAGUUAAAAAAUUCAGGCAAAUAUUUAACCAUAAAUUUGUUUUUUUGAUCCAACCAUUGGAUCCUGUUAGUGCAAAUUUUGUCCCAACUUAUAAUAUGGAAAUUUCGACUGAUGACGAUCCCCUUAGGACUUGGGUUCCUCUUUGUUGGAUUUGAUGAUGGUGAGUUUUUCCUUUGGGCUGAUAUUGAUGGGCCUUUAUAUAUACUCUUCUCAGUCCACUUCCUUAGGCAAUCAGAAUGUUCUUGUCUAGUGAUACUCUACAAACACAAGAAAAUGAUAAGAGGGUCGGCUUUUCCGGCAUAAACCCUCCGAAAGUCAAGUCAGUCACCAGACUUUUGGAAAUAUAAAUUUAGAAAGAGAAAGAUUAGAGGGAGAAAGUUAGCAUUUUCUCAUUUUGAGUCUCUUUUUGUCUUACCUUUUAGUGAGAAUAAAAGACAUAUUUAUCGACCAAACUGAUUUGACUUGGGUCCUAAUUAUUUUGAUGACAAAUUUCAUUAUUCUUGUGGCAUUUGGCAACACUUGUCCCCUAGUGCCCAUGUUGAUUGACACAUGGAUAUACAAACUUGUAUACAGAUUAGAGGAAGGAACGUUUUAUCCUUAUGUUAUUUUUACUUAGAUCUUCUGAUCAUAAGAGCCUUCAAACUUAGAAGGUUUGUCCUAGAAUAAGAGCCUAGAACCUCAGCACGUUUUGGACUUUAAAUCCUUGCCACCUAGUUAAUUUAUCCUAGGUGAUUUGUCUUAGGAUAGGAAUCUAGAACCUUGGCUCCUUUUGGGCUUUGAAAUAUUGUUACUUAGGAGAAUCAUUCUAGAUGAUUUGUCCACCACUUCGUGGGCUUAAUUGAGAGGAAAUUUAUUAGAUGGACCUUAUUGAGAUUAAAUUUAUUUGGGCCUUAUUAGGCUUAUUUUAUUUUUGGUCCAACAGAUCCCCACAAGAAUGGCAGAAAUUGUUCCGACGGGGUAGAUGAAUUUACAUGGCAAUUAACAUUACAAUCCCUGUUGCUUCUCAAAAAGUCAACAAUAACAAUAAUAAUACUUAAUAUUUUGUCUCAAUAAUUAUUCCAAUCCUACACUUAAUCCUACCUCCCAAAUAUAGCCUAAUCCCUCAACUUCAUCUCUUUAGAUUCUAUCUCUCUUGUUCACUCUAGCCAAUAACACCAAUAAUAAAUCUCUCUUUUUCAUUUUUUGAAGGGAACUCUCAAUCUCUCUUUAUUUAUUUAUUUUUUUUAAUUUUCUCAACUCAUAUCAAUAUUUAAAGGCCAUGGAGAACCAAAAAAAGCUUCUCAAGUUCAAGUAUCACAUAAUAUUAGCCCUAGUUUUUAUCUCUUGCACUCAUCUCAGUCAUCGUUCCAGCACCAAGCUUCCUAAACAUUUUAGCCUACUUUUGGUCUUUGUUUCUCUUAGUCACACUCUUUAUUGUUAAAAUCAUCGUCUUUGGUAAAACCUCGAUCUCUGCUGCAGAUUCUUCUUCUUUUUCUUCUAGUUAAGCCUUCUUGAUUAUGUUAUGGCCACCUCAAUAAAAAAAUAAUUUUUUAAUUUGGACUUAUAUCUUAAAAUUGGGGUAAGAUAACCGGGCAAGAUGAGUUCGUCCUUAUUAUUGUUUAGGUAAGGUUAUAUGCACUUUGAGUAACAAAAUGGCGGCAGCUACUUCAUCAUUCACUCCAUCGAUCGCCAAACCUACUCCAUCAUCAUCAUUGAAAACCCUAAAACCUGUAGGGUCUAUCUCACUUCGGUGGACCAAAAACCCUAAAGUCCAAAAUAUUUUGUUUGAUGUGUAAUUAUUGUAAAAUUUUGGACUUAGACUAAAUUAAUGAGAAAAUAUAUAAAGGAAAUAAGUGAAGAAUCAAGAGAGCUGUAGUCAUUUCACACAUUGAGAAGACGCUGCGAGAGAGAAAGACAUAGGUAUUUUUUCUUUAAGUUUUCAAUCUUUGAUUUAACGAUCGCAAGAUGAUUUUAACUAUGAUUUCUCCCAAAUUUGGAGGAUAAGUUCCUGACAUCGCCCUCUAUAUUUUUACUGGUGUUGAUCUGUAUUUUAUUCUCUUGGUAGCUGUUAUUUGAGAUACCCAUUUAUUAGAGAAAUAUAUAUUAGAUCUAUUAUUGUAAACUAAGAUUGUUGAGAAUCUUGAUGUUGUUAGCCUCUAGUGUUAUCUGGAGAAAUAUUUGUGCCGUAAUCCCAUUAAUAUAUUGGAAGUUUAUAUCGGACUAUAAUCCCGUGUUUUUUUUUUUUCAAUUUGGGUUUUCCACGUUAAAAUUAGUGUCUUUUGUGGUUGAUUUAUUACUUUGGAUUUGUUAGUUUAUUUUUCUACCUUUUUUUUUUUGUAGUUCACAUCUUAUUUUAAUCACACAAAAAGGAAAAGAAUUUUAUUUCCGUUUAAUUUACAGCUACUUUUGUGGGUCCAUCUGCCAACAAAACCAGAAUUCAAGCCUCUCAAUCUAGGGUUUCUCUAAUCCACCGUGAAGUCGUUGAGAGCUCUCAAAGCUACCAAUGACAAUGGAAACGGCUUCGCUUUGGGCUCAGCUCUCGGCGUUCGGAUGGUGUCUACUCCUACGGUUAAGACACCUCUCUCGCUCGAUUUUGAGACAUCUGUCUUCAAGAAGGAGAUGAUCUCUCUCACUGGCCACGAUGAGUACAUUGUGAGAGGAGAAAGAGAUUUGUUGAAGUUGCUGCCGGACGCAUUCAAGGGGAUUAAUCAUAUUGGCGUUAUUGGUUGGGUUCCCAGGGACCUGCCCAAGCUCAAUUCUUGGGUAGGUCCCUGGGAACCCUAACCUCUAACGUUAAUUUGCUUAAUCCCCUUGAAUGCGUCCGGCGCAACUUGAACAAAUCCCUUCCUCCUCUCACAAUUUACUCAUCGUGGCCAGCGAGAGAGAUCUUCUCCCUCUUGAAGAUAGAUGUCUUAAAAUCGAGCGAGACAAGUGUCUUAACCACAGGAGCGGACACCAUCCGAGCACUGAGAGCUGAGCACGAAAUGAAGCCAUUUCCACUGCCGCUGGUAGCUUUGAGAGCUCUCAACGACUUCGAGGUGGAUGAGAGAAGGAAGGGAUUUUGAUGACGAUGAUGGAGUGGGUUUGGCAAUCGAGGGAGUGAAUGAUUAAGUACCACCGUCAUUUUGUUACUCAAAGUACGUAUAACCUUACUUGAAACAAUAAUAAGGACAAAAUCGUCUUGCCCCGGUUAUCUUACGCCAAUUUUAACAAGUCCAAAUUAAAAAAUUAUUUUCUUGUUGAGGCUUAUUACUGCUUAUGCUGUACGUACAGUAGGUGUUCUUUUUAAGCAACAAAUUAAUUGACAUUGGAUUACAUUUUCUGAGUAUCCGCAAUCAGAAUUGUAUGGCUUGUUUAAUUGUUUUAAAAGUAAGUUCACAUUUGAUGGUCUUGAAGAGGAGUUGAAAGCUGUAUUUUCUUCUCAAGUUAAAGAAAGAUUCAAAGAUUAUAUGAAGAGUACUAGAGAUGAAGCCUUCAAAAAAUUUAAAAUAGAUGGGGAGUGUUAUUUUAAUUGCCCAUCAAAUGUUGAGAAAUAUGUAUGGCAUCAAAUGGUGGACAAAUGGUUGAGUGAGAAAUGGCAGGUAUUAUAUAUUCAUAAUUUUUGUUGCUUAAUUAUUUAUUAAGCUAUAUUCAUGAUUGUUGUUGUUGUUGCUUGAUUAUUUGUUGGCAUGUAUGAUAGUGUUUAAUUGUUGGACUAUUUUGUGUUUGUUUCAUCUUUUCUAUCUUGCUGCUUAAUGACUCAAUAAGAUUUCUUAUUUCUAGUUUUAUUUAGGCAUUUUUAUAUUUAGUAAUUGUAUUAAGUCUGUUAUUUUUUUUUAUUUAGAAAUCUUUUAUAUUGAUUAUUAGAAUCCGAUAAUAAUUACUUUUUUGUUUGUUGAUGUUUUGCUAAAAAAAUUAAAGUGUUUAUCUUUACAUUUGAUUCUCUCUCUAUGUACGGUGAAUUUAAUAAUCUGAUCAAAUGUAGAAGUGAUUUUUCCUUUCAUACUUAUGUUAUAUAUGAUGAAUGAUGAAUGGGUUAGAUUUGGUGUAGGUAAAUCUAAUGAUUGGGUUUAUUUAUAUCCUAUGCAAUAAUUCUAAUUUCAACUUAUUUAAAUCCUAUGCAAUAAUUUUAAUUUCAACGUAGUUAAAUAAUUUUAGUUUACAAUGUUGAAUGUAAUGAAUCAUUUUUUUCUUUUAUGUAGAAAUCUAGUAGAACAAGUGCAUUGAACUGUUACAAACCAUCUAAAGUAGUGCAUACAACUGGAUCGAUUAAAAUGUUGAAGAAGAAAAAGGAAUUGGCAUAUGAUCAUAGUUGUCAUAAAUUUUCUUAUAUUUAUAUUUUAUCAUAGAAGUGCUUUUAAAAGAUUUACUUUGUUGUCAUAAAAUAAUUAUUUUGAUUCUUAAUAUUUUAGUUUUUAUAAUACAAAUUAAUUAAUUAUCUAACAUUAUUUUUAUUAUUGUUAUUUUAUUGAUAGGCAGAGAAAAAUAGGAAUGAGCCUAUUGUUGUACAAAUUUUAUUGAACUCGCAAGUGCACGAAUCUAUUGUAGAAUAGAUCAAUGGUGACGAGUGUCGAUCCCACGAGGAUGUGAAUUUUAAUUAUAUGUAGAAUUAUUUUUCUAUAAAGGUGGUUGGAUUUGUGGUGAAAGUAAUUUAGACUAUCUUAGAAUUUAAAUUGGAAUGGCGGAAUUAAAUUAAAGUGGAAACUAUUAUAAUUGAAGCGCUUGGGUAUCUGGAUCCGUAUCAACAUGCACCAUGGGUUAAAUAUUCCUUAUUAGUGCUAAUUAAAUCAUGAGGGGAAAAUCCACACCUCAUGAAUCACACUCUAAUCAAUAUGGUACUAAGGGCUUAUAGUGCCAAAUAAUAAUAACCUUGUAUUAGGGAGCCGGUGAAAUCAGGGCGGUAUCUAGACAAGAUUAUUAUUAUUUGUCGACGAAAAAUCAAAACAUCCACAAAAAUUAGAGGGGAAGAGAAAAUAAAUUUACCAAGUAAAGCCCAUGACACAUGUUGAGACUCCACCUUCAACCCAAGCUUGAAAGAAAAUUAGCUACUCAUAAUUGAACUAGGGGUAAAAUAGAAAUUUAUUAAAAUACGUAGAAAAUACAAGAUGGAAAAGAAAUUACAGAAAAUGGAGCUAAAAAAUCAAUUCAGAGAUGCCAAAUUAGGGGGGAGAGACCACUUUUUAUAGAUACAUUGAGUAAAUCAUGGUCAUCGGAUUAAAAACAGUUUGGGCGCUCAGGAUUGCGCCACGUCAUCAGUCAACAAUACGCGGUUUGACCACGCGGUUUGAACAAUGAUACGGUUUGACCACAUGGUUUGAACAGUCAAUCGGCUUGAACAAUAACGUGGUUUGGUUGAAAAUAAUCUUGUGUAUAUGCAUGUACUGUACGCGCGAUUUUUGGUCCACUAACAUGCUGUCACGUUACCGAUCAACAGUACAUAAGAAUUUUCUCUAAUGGAAUCGUGACACCUCAUCUAUCAAUGCCACAUCAUCGGUCAAUGCCACGUCAUCAUUCCGUAUGUGUGAACAGUGUCGUGAACAGUAACAUGGACAGUACCGUACAUAUGAACAAUGCCAUUUUUCUUUUUAUACUCCUCAUAAGGUUUUCGGCUAUCCUGAGUGAGCUCUCGUUAUUGUGAAAUGACCAUGAUGCCCCUAAAAUACAUAAAAUACUUAAUUAAAAUAAAACACACAUAAUUAAAUCACAAGAAGCUUAAAUACAUAAAAGUAAGGAUGUUAGUAAGACUUGAAAUGUAAAAUGACGAUUUUCUCCUUUAUAAAUAUACAUUUUUCUAACACUCAACACACCCCCCAACCAGCUUAUUGCUAAUCCCUAGCAAAUAAAGCAAAAACAAAAUUCAAACCCAAAACGAUUUUUUUAAACACUCUUGUUUAUUCAAUCAGACUAAUGAUAGUAAUCAAAUAAAAGUAUAAGCAUUAUCUCCAGUCUAAAGAAACAUAACACCCACAUCCACCAUUCACAUGCAUCAAUCCAGCAGACUUUGUCAAAGUUACUUUCAAGAAUAACAUGUCAAACCCCAAAAUCUCACUGGUAGUAGUGACACUCUCACAAAGAAAUUAAACCUAAUAAAAAUAGUACUCCAAUGAAUGGUAAAUUGAGAGAAAAUAAUAAAGAAAUAAUAUCACACGCUCUCACUGGGAUGAAAGAAAUAUGCUCUUAGCUUAGAAAUAAUAAUCUGAUCUCAAGUCAAACAAAAUGCUAGUCAACUCAAUUUAUUUAUUUAUUUAUUUUUAUGUAUUACUACAUCUUUUUAGCCCAUAUAACUAACUUCUACUUCAGACUAUAGCUCCCUAAAAUCAUGAAGGACUUUUAUUAGGAUGUAACGUAGGCUAAGGACAUGGCUAACAAAUGAAGGAAAUAUAAAAAACAAAAUAUAUGUUUGAGAAAAAGUAGAAAUCUUUUGGAAAUUACAAAGUGGAUUUCACCUAUUAUUAUUUUUUCUUUUUUUUUUUAACUAACAAUUUUUUUGUGUUUGUUUUUGGCACAACUUCACUGAACAAAAUAAUUAUUUACAUUUUUCUCAAAUAUAAAUAGGUGAUGGAGCUUGUAAGAUAUCAGAUAAUACUCCAAAUCGGAGUGGGUCAAAAUGAUAAGUUGAAAAAGAAAUAUAUAUACAUAUAUUUUAAGGCUUAAAAGGGUUAACUAUGGAUUUUUUACAAAAAAGAUGGCUAGAAAGACAAAGUUGAGAGAAAACAGACAUAUUUUUUUAAAGCACUGCAAACAGACAUGGGGGAGAAUUCAAAGCCUUUGAAUCAUAUCUUAGAAGAGAGGGAAUAGCUCUAAGACAUUCUUGCCCUUACUUACAUAAACAAAAUGGCAAAGUUGAGAGAAAACACAGACACAUUGUGGAAACUGGACUCACAUUGCAGCCCAAGCCAAAAUGCCAUUGAAAUAUUGGCAAGAAGCCUUUACAUAUGUUGUAUUCACCAUUAACAGACUGGUAUCACCUGUAGUUGGGAGCAAAACACCCUUUGAAUUGAUGUACUCUUCUAAACGAGAUUACUCUCAAAUUAAAGUGUUUGGCUGUGAGUGCUUUCCUUACCUAAGACCCUAUAAUAAGCACAAAUUUGAUUUUCACACCUCCAAGUGUGUCUUGUUAGGAGUAAGUAUUGCUCACAAAGGAUAUGUACGCAUGGGUCAGUCUGGCAGGAUUUAUAUUUCAGCUAGUGUGAGGUUCAAUGAAAACUUCUUUCCUUUCUCAAAUUAUCCAAAUUUCAACAAAAAUGAGUCCAUGAAUGAAAGUGAUUUUACUACUCUCUCUGAAAAGUUUCAAGUUGUUUCCUACCCUGUCAACAAUCUUGACAAUUUCACACAGCUAGCAGCUGCACACAAUCAUUCUCAAAACACUGCUGGAAAUAUGGAACUUCCCUAAAAUCUUGUCCAAGAUGAAGCACAAAAGACCUUGGAGACUGACACAUUAUCAGGUAACCACUCACCUCACCAACCCUUGUUACAUAUUCCAGAAGACAGUCCAAAUUCACUCCCAGCCACAGAACUAAACACUUAAAACCUUGGUAAACAAAAAGCAUGGCCAUCAUAUCCUAUGAUAAUAAGAUCUAAAGCAUGAAUUUUCAAACCAAAACUAUACUAAAUAUCUACCCAAAUCCAAUCCCCUCUUCCCAAAAACACAUGUGAAGCCUUAAAGGAACCAAAAUGGAAAGAGGCAAUAGUAGAUGAGUACAAUGCCCUGAUGAAAAACAGAACAUGGACCUUGAUACCUAAUAGUCAAAAUUAUAAGUUGGUUAGAAACAAGUGGGUGUACAGAAUAAAAGAGAAUCCUUAAUGGUACCAUUAAUAAGUACAAGGCCAGACUUGUUGCUAAAGGAUUCUUGUAAACACUAGGUGUUGACUUUAAGGAGACAUUUAGCCCUGUAGUUAAGGCUGCAAAAAUUAGAAUUGUUCCGACUUUGGCAGUGAAUAACAACUGGAUGCUGAGGCAAGUGGACAUAAACAAUGCAUUUCUAAAUAGAGACUUGACUGAGGAAGUGUACAUGCCACAGCCUGAAGGAUUUGAAAACAAAAGCAAGCCAAACUACAUAUGCAAGCUGAACAAAGCACUGUAUGGACUAAGACAGGCUCCUAGAGUCUGGUUUGACAAGCUGAAGAGUGCUUUAUACUCUUGGGAUUUUGAAAAUUCUAAGUGUGACACAUCAUUAUUUUUCAGAAGAACAAAAUCAAAUAUAAUUAUUAUGCUCAUCUGUGUUGAUGACAUAAUAAUCAUUGGAAGCAGCAACAAGGAUGUCGAAGAAGUGAUUGUAAAGCUGAGCAAAACCUUUGCCUUAAAGGAUUUGGGUAAUUUAAAUUUCUUACUCGGGAUACAAGUUACCAGAAAUCAAGAUAACAUCAUGCUCUCUCAAACCAAAUAUGUUCAAGAUAUGUUGAUAAAAGCAUAAAUGACUCACUGCAAAGGCAUAAAAACUCCUUUCAGCACUUCAGAAAAGCUAAAAAGAAAUGAGGGAGCCAAUUUUCAUGACCCUACACUUUAUAGAAGUGUCAUAGGAAGCCUACAAUAUUCAGUGCUUACAAGACCUAAGCUUGCCUUCUCUGUGAACAAGCUUAGUCAGUUUAUGUCAGAUCCUAGACAGUCACAUUGGAUAACAUGUAAAAGGGUACUGAGAUAUCUUAAGAAUACAAUGAACAUGUGCCUAAGGAUAAAAAAAGUCAGAAUAUUUUGAUCUUACUGCCUAUACUAAUGCAGAUUGGGCUAGUGAUCUAGAUGACAGAAGGUCAAUCAGUGGCUAUUGCCUAUAUUUGGGUAAUAACUUGGUGGCUUGGAGUUCAAGAAAACAAGGUGUGGUUGCUAGAUCAACUGCAGAGUCUGAAUACAGAGCUAUGGCUGUAUGCAGUGUUGAAAUUACAUGGAUCAGUUCAUUGCUUAAUGAGCUUGAGUUAAAAGUUCAAGGAACUCCAGUGAUUCUAAGUGACAGUACCAGUGUAGCAGCCAUAACUGCCAAUCCUAUAUACCAUUCGAGAACUAAACAUUUCGAGAUUGGUCUUCACUUCAUCAGAGACAAAGUUAUGAAAGGUGAAAUAAAAAUAAGUUUUGUUGCAAGCAAGGAUCAAACUGCAGAUGUUCUAACUAAACCUCUGCCAUACUAUAAAUUUGACUACUUCAGAAGCAAACUCAAUGUCUUUGCAAGACCUUGUGUUUGAGAGAGGGUGUUGAAAGUAGCAGCUGUGAAAAUUCAAUAGCUGACUCUGAUGACAAGUUAGCAUGCCACCUCAGCUACACUCAUUUGCAAUCAGAAAAUGUAGAAGAUUUACUGAGCUGGCAAAAUGGAUUUACUGAAGAAUCUCAGCAAAUGAGCAUGCAAGAAUUACGUUUCUAGAAGCUGAAAAUGAUUGGCUGAUAUUUGUCAUAUUCACAGGUUGUUAUUUGUUCAUUUCCAAAUCUUAGCCCUUAGGCCAACUGUUUCUUCUUUUUCCUCUCUGUAUGUAAAUGAACCUAAGCUUGUAUUUUCAUUCAUUCAAGUCGUUAUCUUUUAUAAAGCAUUUUGUGAUUUAUGCUUUGCUUGCUGUUCAUAAGUAAGUUAUAGCAAAUUUAAGUUGUUGGAUCAUAAACUUGAUCCAAGAUGAAUAAAUUCAAGCCCAACUCAUGCAAGGUUCCAUGAAUAGGUGUGAUUGGUGAGGUUUGAAUUAUUUGUGUUAGGUGUGGUGGGUUUGGUAGGUGAAGAUGAAUGGUUAUUAAUUUUUUAUAAUUUCUUAUUUGAAUGGUUGUGAUUAGCUUGUUUCAUGUAUAAAUACCCCCUCUCCCCUUUGGUUUAAGCAUCAAGUGAAGUAACAAAAUCUCUAAGUUGUAGAGAGUGAAAAAUAAGAGUUGUAGUUGGUGAGGAGUGUUAUUGAAGAAAUAAAAUAGUGUGUUUUUUUAGUGUCAUAUGUGUUAACUUUCCAACAAAAAUUACUGGACAUGAACUUUCCUACUGCUUAAUCUUUCCUGCAGCCAAAAUUAGCUAUAACCAAUAAAAGAAAUUUCAUUGACUAUAUAGCCACAGCCCACAAGCCUGGAUACUGAUGCCUCUGAAUUAUGUUUCUCGAGCGAAUGUGCAGUCCGCUAGCUUACAUCUUGAGGGCUAGUGAGCUGAUCUGCAUGUUACACAAGGACUUGUUUUAGUUUAAUUAAUUACCUGAUCUACAUCGCUCAAGUUCACUUCACCAAAUUAAUAAAUUGAAGCACGUCAAUUUACGAAGAGGGCUGGUAAGCUGAAAUUUUUUUCACGGUAAAAAAAUUAAAGAGGAACUAAUUAACUAUGAACAAUUGCAUUGAUAAACUUUUAGUUUAAUUAAUUACCUUGAGGAUGCAUUUGAUUAUUUUUACAAACAUUAAUCUAAUUUUAUGUUUGGUGCAAACAAAAUGAGUUAGGAUAGCAUGUCCUGCCCUACAUCUUUUUUUUUUUUUUUUUAAAUCUGGACCCGCGCUUUAAUAAGAUAAAUGUAAAACUUUUUCCCAUAAAGAUGGAAACCUUAACUAUGAACUAUUACUUAGCAUAAUGUUAUAUAAACAUAUAAAUAAACACACAUCUAAUCGCUUCUUAUUGAUAUCACAACAACUUACAUUCUGGGGAAAAAAAAAAUACUAAACCCUCAGGGUAAUAGACAUUAUCACAUCUGAUCACUUCUUAUUGGAGAUACAAAAACAUACAUUCAGUAUUGCAAAAGCCAAAUUAAUCAUAUAAAGAAGCAGAAAGGCGUGGAGUAAGAAGCACUUUAAGUGGAGUAGCUUUAGCAUAGGUCAAGGAUUUUGCCUCUUCCAUGUCAACUGGUGCAUCUGAUGGGGUUGCAAAAUCAAACCCAUGUAGUAAUGAAGCAAGUAUUAGUGGCAUAACUUGAAAGGCAAACGAAAUUCCAGGACACAUUCUUCUACCACUUCCAAAUGGUAUAAAUUCAAAAUUCUGUCCCUUCAGAUCAACGUCCUUGUAUUUUGUAAGAAAUCUUUCUGGCAGAAAUUUACAAGGCUCCUCCCAAACUCCUGGAUCACGCUGAAUCUUCCAAGCAUUAACAAUAAGUUGUGUGCCUGCAGGGACAUGGUAACCACUGAUGGUGCAGUCUUCGAUAGACUCGUGAGGUAGUAAAAGUGGCGCAGCGGGGUAUAAACGCAGUGUCUCCUUGAGGACGACCUGCAAAUGAGCUAAAUUUAUCAUGUCUGAUUCAUUCACUUGUCUAUUUGUACCAACAUGAACGUCUAGUUCAUUUUGAGCCUUCUCUAGAACAUCGCGGUUGUUGAGAAGUAGGGCGAUAGCCCAUGUCAAUGUUACUGCGGUAGUGUCUGAAGCUGCUAAGAUUAGAGACUGCAAAAGUAGGAGUCAGCUCGAUUAUAUAUAUAAAAUAGCUUUUUGCCAAUUGACAUGUUAUCAAUAAUUUAUGCAUUAGCUGUGCUUAAGUUUUUUUCAGGACAAUACCAGGCAUAUAGCUUUAAUAACAGUGUCAGUGUCAUCGCCAUCAGGAAGCUGCUUUGUUUUGUCAUCAAACAAGGACAGCAUCACAUACAUAAAGUCUUCAUCUCCCUUAACCUCGCUAGAACCUCUUUUGCUCUUAUGCUCAUCCAACCAUCCUUGCAAAACGAGGUCAAAUUCUUUAGCUGUCUUCUUCAUUAAUUUCUCGUAUCCGCCGAUAUCCAGCCAUCUCAGAAACGGAAAAGCGUCAGACACCACAAACUUACCAAACAAGUCAAAAAAGUCGGUCGCAU
rnacentral:lncRNA from 1 species